UGUUUAACCAUUCGCCAGUGGAAGACACUUGGGUCGCUUCUGGUUUGUGGCUAUUACGCAUAAAGCUGCCGCGAACGGUCACGCCCAGGCUUUGUGCGGACAUGUUUUCACUUCACAGGACUACACGCCCAGGAGUGCAGGUCCCUGUGGAUAUGGUGAGCGUACGUUUAGACUUUUAAGAGACGGCCAGAUUUGUCCAGAGGGGCUGCUUCAUCAGCACUGUGUGAGGAAUCCUUUUCCCUGCCUCCUCACCAAUGUUGGCAUUGUCACUAUUUUUAAAUUUUGUCUCAACAUUCUGAUAAGUAUGCGUUGCAAUCUCAUUGUGGCUUUAAUCUGCAUUUCCUUAAUGGCUAAUGAUGUUGAACAUCUCUUCAGGUACUCCUUUGCCAUCCGUAUAGUUUCAGCGAAAUGUCUCUUCAUGUCUUUUGCCCAUUUUCUGAUCGGGUCGUUUUCUUUCUUGCCGUCGAGUUCCGAGAGUUCUUUACACGUUCUAGAUAUAGAAGUCCUUUGUCAGAUACGUGGUUUGCAAAUCUCUCUCCCUCAUUCUCUGCUUUAAUGCCCAAGUUGCCCUUGUUGGUUUGUAAAAGCAAGUUUUCACGUACUCAUCUGACAAAUUGUUUUCUAGCCCCUACCAUCUGCCAGGCACUUGUCUGGGAGCCAUAGAUGAGACAGAUAAGACGGGGUCUCUGCUCACGAGGGGCUCACAGGCCAGUGUUGGGGUGUGGAGCAGAGGGAAAAAAAACCAGAUCAUUUCAACACAACACAGUCAAUGGCAUAAGAAGGUAUGGAUGUGGUGCGUGGUAGGAGGGACCAGGAAGAUCCGCCAGGGAAGGUGGGAAAGUUGGAAGGACGAGUCUCCUCCUAAGUGGCAGGCAAGGAGGCCACGGGCAUUCAGAGCAGAAACAAAAGAGCUUGUGCAUCUGUGGCUGAAUCAUUCAGAGUUCAUGACAGCAGGGCUAGGAGGCCAGAGGGCACUAUCGGGUGAGUGCUUGGGAAUUCCUCAGAGUUGGGUAGCCAUCUUGGAAGGCACUCCCUGCUCAUGUGACCAUGGGCUAGAUACUAACUCUUCUCAGGCUCAAUUUUCUCACAGGCACAAGUGAGUUUAGUAGUGCCCACUUCUCAGAUCCCAGCAGGGUUAGAAAUAAUAUACAUAACACAUCUAGAACAGUGCCAGGGAGAUAGAAUUAGGUGUUUCAUGAACAUUAGCCUUGGCAAAUUUUUUUUGGAAAAACAAAGGAAGUUUGAAGAUUGGCUUGCGGGAGGGAACCCUGCCAAGGUCCUGCCCCUUCCCAAGGAUCUCUCCCUACCGUGGUCCUGCCUGAAGGAAGGGGCGAGCCUCCUCCUGUCUACCUCAGGUCCAUCUCCCCGUGCCUGGGACCACAACCUUGCAUCUUUCUGGGACUAGGAAUCAUUUAGACACACUUUUGGCUCCUUCCCAACAGGCUUAAACCUCCCCAGGCCAUCAGGCAAUCGCUGGCCUUUCUUUCUCAGCCACCUUUCCAGGAAGAGCUGUCUAUUUUCACCAUCUCCACUCUCCCCCCUCCCUCUUCUUCACUCAGUGUGGUCUAGCUCCCUGCCCCCACCCCAGGGACUUCCCUGGUCAAGGUCAUUGUGGCCUCUGUGACACAGACAUGAUUCACUCUCUCUCUCUCCCCCAGUUUCCCUGCAGCAUUUGAGAAGGUUGACCACUUCCCCCUUCUUGAGACAUUCUUCUGGCUUGGCUUUCAAGAUGGUGCCCAUGCAGGAUGUUUCCCAGGGUCCUUGUGGGAGCCUCUCCUGAACUCCUUGGUAUGCCCCUCUUACUGUACCUUCUACUAAGGAGAGGUGUCCCCCGGGUUCAUCCCUCAGCUCUCUGUCCUCACUCAACAUGCUUGAGCUCCUUCCUGGUCCUUCCCUGAUCCCCAUCCAUGCCUUCUGUUAGCUUCUUCAGUCUGGGGGUCUCAGGUAUCUAUUUUCCCACUCUCAGACCUCUCUCCUGAACUCCAGACCACUGGGUCCCACUGUCUAUGGAAUAUCUACCCUUCAAACUCAACGUGAGUGAAGUCAAGUCCCCCCAACCCUUCCUUAGACUGACUCCUCCUCCCCCGAUUCCAUCUUCCACUGAACAGCACUACGACCUUCCAGCCAUCAAGAACAGGCUGAUACAACACAGGGAAAACGGUGAUGGAGAGGUGAGUGCGUGCCCUGAGCCUCUUCGUGGCGGCUUGUAGUCACGACCCUCCAGUGGGCCGUGUGCCCCGCGUUGUGAUCCAGGGUGCCCUCGGGGACCCUGGACCGAAGGCAGAGCCCCGCGCGGCCGCAGGUGGUCAAGAACCGAUCUACCACGGCUGUGCCCUUGUUGUUCCGACAGCGAAGUCUUCUGUUAAAAUGGAAACAUCCAAGUGGGAAACAGUAAGACACCGUGGCCCAUGACCUUCGACCUCUUUAAGCCAACAGUUCACAUGAAGACAUGGAAAGCAUGUGCAUUAAAUCUGCAGAUGACUCAAAGCUGGAGGGGAUGAGAGAAUUAAGGUUCAAGAUGAGCUCGGCAGUCGAGAAUGCUGGGUCGAAAGCAACCAGAUGAAAUUUGACAUCAAUAAAUCUCACGUCUUGAAUGCCGUUUCCAAAAAGUCAGUUGCACAAGAACGGGACGGGGGAGACCUGGCUUGACUGCAAUUCACAUAAAAAAGAUGAGGAGGUUUGAGUCCGCCUCAAGUUCAACGUGAGCGAGCCAGCCGAGUGAGGAGGCAGCUCGGGGAGGGAAAGGAAGCGUCCAACAACAUCCUAAUGCUUCUGCUGCAUUAACCCCUGGAGAGGGGGUGGGAGCGCGGAUGG